rnacentral:lncRNA from 1 species
AUUUAUCUGACCAGCAUGAUUAAUCAUAUUUUGAUUAGAUCACUUAAUAAUUGAGGUUGACCCAUACUAACUAGGAGAUCAGUAUGAGUGAUUUAGGUGUCCCUAGUUUAACUUGUCUUGAGUUCUCAUCAUGACUUGAUGAAGUCAGUGAAAGAAUUUAUGACUCGUUGGGUAGAUCAGAUUAAACUUAAUCUUCUUUAAUU